AUUGAACGCUGGCGGCAGGCCUAACACAUGCAAGUCGGGCGAGCGGAGGACGGGCGAGUAAGGUAUGGGGAUCUGGAUGAUGGAGGGGGAAAACUACUGGAAACGGUAGCGAAUACCGCAUACGAUCAGUUGAAGCCACAGGGGAUUAGCUUGUAGGUGAGGUAACGGCUCCCCUAGGCGAAGAUCCCUAGCUGGUCUGAGAGGAUGAUCAGCCACACUGGGACUGAGACACGGCCCAGACUCCUACGGGAGACAGCAGUGGGGAAUAUUUCACAAUGGGCGCAAGCCUGAUGCAGCCAUGCCGCGUGUAUGAAGAAGGCCUUCGGGUUGUAAAGUACUUUCAGUCGGGAGGCGUUACCGACAGAAGAAGCACCGGCUAACUCCGUGCCAGCAGCCGCGGUAAUUC
rnacentral:rRNA from 1 species